GGGGUUUACUUUGAAACACACAAUGACAGCAGUGCUUAUGCCUGAUGGGAAACAAGGACAAUCUGCAAGAAAGGCUGCUUACCUCUCUAUUGCCCUUCCACAAGAAAGACUAUGGACCAGUGGAGGCUGCUGAAGGGGAGGACAGUUCAUAAUAAGGGCUGGUAUACCGCUCCAGCCAUUACCACGAGCACUUUCUCCCCAAUUAAGGUGCCACCAACCUCCUGUGGUAUGUACAGUGGUGAGAGGGGUCUAGGUGAAAGUGUAAGAACUACAUACUUAACUGGGAAAUGGACAAAGGAUUAACUUGAAGAUGGAUUGUACUCCGAGUAGAUGAUCAAGCGAAUGACUGGACUGUUGCUUCAUAUUCCAUCUUGGAUACUAUCUAUAUUCCAGAGCAGACUGGUGAGAGGAGCUAUAGGAGGAUGGGCUCAUUGCAACGGUUGGAAUGAAUGGAACGGUGUUAAACAUGUAGAAACCACAAUUCCACGCCAAGAAUCAGGAUUGCCAUCACCACAGCAGCCCAACUACCACGGCCUGACUAUGUCUACAUGCGACUCCAAGCCAAACUCUUAAGUCCACCCCCUGGAAUCUUCAUCUGCAGCCAUCUGCUUUAUCCGAUCCAUUCUCAUUCCUCUCCUGGAUCCUCACACAUCCAUUCAAUUUCCUCAAUAGAUAUUCUAAACCCAUUUCAAUGUCAGGUCCUUAAACUCAUGAAGGUUAGGUUGAAAGCUAGAUGACUCGAGAUUAACAUGACCAAAGACUGAAACCGAAACCAAUUUUCCUGGAUGUGUGGAUAAAUACAAAUGUUAUUAUUGAGGCUCUCACUAACUUAUUGCACAAUGUGUAUAACGUUUGAGUAUGACUAUGGGGGUUAGAUAAAUGUUUGACAUCAUAAAGAUAAUCUUUUGUCAACCACUGCCAUGUUGAUAUGAGCCUUGCUGUAGGAAUACCAGUGUACAACUGUUGCAUAUGCACCUUACGGUCUCCAGUUCCCCCUCACGCUGCAGUCACAGGCCGGCUUCAGUGACUCACACUGUUAUCUAUAUUGAAACUGUUUUUGACUCCUUAUCUGACAACCAUCAUGAAUUGUUCUCGCUCAGAUCACUGUUAGUCACCACAAGCCAGCCUCCACUCAGUGCCCUGCCCUGAACUUAGUCAAGGUAUGGAACUUCUUUCCAUCUCACAUUGCUCAAAUAAACAGCAAAUCUGGUUUCGAAA
ensembl:lncRNA